UACAGAGACUGCAAGCGUUAUUCGGAUUCACUGGGCGUAAAGGGUGCGCAGGCGGCUACGCACGUCCGUUGUGAAAUCGCUCGGCUCAACUGGGCGGGGUCAGCGGAUACGGCGUAGCUGGAGCAAGCUAGGGGGCAAUGGAAUUCCCGGUGUAGUGGUGGAAUGCGUAGAUAUCGGGAGGAACACCAGUGGCGAAGGCGGUUGCCUGGAGCUUUGCUGACGCUGAGGCGCGAAAGCGUGGGGAGCGAUCCGG
rnacentral:rRNA from 1 species